rnacentral:ncRNA from 1 species
AGAAAUUCGAUAAAGAGAAAGAGUAAGUUAUAGGAUGUCCUACAGAGAGUUGGUGUAUGCUGAAAGCCGAUGUUCAAAAUAUAGCUGAAAAUCAUCUCCUAGAAGCAACGCAGAAAAGAAAUGAGUAAGUGUUGACGUAGUCUUUCCACGUUACAGGAUAAGCGUAUUGAUAGAUGCGAGCAGAGUGCUAUAAAAGAUUAAUAUAUAAUUGAUUUUUUAUAGAAUUAGGGUGGUAACACGGAUGUAAUCCGUCCCUUGA